AUCGUCGGCGGCAUGGCGGCGCUGGCGCUGGGGGCGUUCGGGGCGGCCUCGGGCGUGGUGCUGUUCGAGACGUCGUUCGGCGCCGCGCUGGCGGUG
rnacentral:tRNA from 1 species